UACGUAGGUGGCAAGCGUUGUCCGGAUUUACUGGGCGUAAAGAGCGCGCAGGCGGUCGUACAAGUCGCGUGUGAAAGCCCCCGGCUCAACUGGGGAGGGUCACGCGAUACUGUUCGACUCGAAGGCAGGAGAGGGAAGUGGAAUUCCCGGUGUAGUGGUGAAAUGCGUAGCUAUCAGGAGGAACACCGGUGGCGGAAGGCGGGUCUCUGGGCAACAACUGACGCUGAGGAGCGAAAGCGUGGGGGAGCGAACAGG
rnacentral:rRNA from 1 species